rnacentral:rRNA from 1 species
UACGUAGGGGGCUAGCGUUGUCCGGAAUCAUUGGGCGUAAAGCGCGUGUAGGCGGUUCGGUAAGUCCGCUGUGAAAGUCGGGGGCUCAACCCUCGAAUGCCGGUGGAUACUGUCGGACUAGAGUACGGAAGAGGCGAGUGGAAUUCCUGGUGUAGCGGUGAAAUGCGUAGAUAUUAGGAGGAAUACCAGUUGCGAAGGCGGCUCUCUGGACUGUAACUGACACUGAGGCACGAAAGCGUGGGGAGCAAACAGG